GAUGAACGCUGGCGGCGUGCCUAACACAUGCAAGUCGAACGGUUAAACCGGCUUUUGCCGGAAAUAAAGUGGCGAACGGGUGAGUAACGCGUGACCGACCUUCCCCCCGCACCGGGACAACCGCGGGAAACCGCGGCUGAUACCGGGUACUCCGGGGCCUUCGCAUGGGGGCCCCGGGAAAGCUCCGGCGGCGGGGGAUGGGGUCGCGUCCCAUCAGGUAGUAGGCGGGGCAACGGCCCACCUAGCCGACGACGGGUAGCCGGGUUGAGAGACCGACCGGCCACAUUGGGACUGAGAUACGGCCCAGACUCCUACGGGAGGCAGCAGUGGGGAAUUUUGCGCAAUGGGGGCAACCCUGACGCAGCAACGCCGCGUGCGGGACGACGGCCUUCGGGUUGUAAACCGCUUUCAGCAGGGAAGAACCUAUGACGGUACCUGCAGAAGAAGCCCCGG
rnacentral:rRNA from 1 species